CGGCGGACGGGUGAGUGACGCGUGGGUAACCUGCCUCAUACAGGGGGAUAACAGUUGGAAACGGCUGCUAAUACCGCAUAAGCGCACAGUACCGCAUGGUACCGUGUGAAAAACUCCGGUGGUAUGAGAUGGACCCGCGUCUGAUUAGCUAGUUGGUGGGGUAACGGCCUACCAAGGCGACGAUCAGUAGCCGACCUGAGAGGGUGACCGGCCACAUUGGGACUGAGACACGGCCCAA
rnacentral:rRNA from 1 species